rfam:Acyrthosiphon pisum strain LSR1 Contig1026493, whole genome shotgun sequence.
AAAACGGCCCUUUUCAGGGCCACCAAUCGCUAUAAAAUCUCUGUU